GCAAGUCGAGCGCUACCUUCGGGUGGAGCGGCGGACGGGUUAGUAACGCGUGGGAACAUACCCUUUUCUACGGAAUAGCCUCGGGAAACUGAGAGUAAUACCGUAUAAGCCCUUCGGGGGAAAGAUUUAUCGGAGAAGGAUUAGCCCGCGUUAGAUUAGGUAGUUGGUGGGGUAAUGGCCUACCAAGCCUACGAUCUGUAGCUGGUCUGAGAGGACGAUC
rnacentral:rRNA from 1 species